rnacentral:sRNA from 1 species
ACAGAGGCAGGAAGGCUGCUGGAUGCCGCAAGGGCUUCCUGUGGAGAAAAUGUCUGUUCUUUGCCUGUGUGAUCUCAGGGCCCCACAGAACACAAUCUAUCACCCAUGGGGCAGAAUGUGUGAAAACAGCAAGACCAGCAGAAACAAGCGGCGCGAGGACUCGGAGCGAUCAAUAUUCGUGCGGUUAAAAGAAGGUGGCUACCGGCUGCGAGAAAACAUCCUCUUCCAUCUCUACGUGAGCACCUCCCCCUGUGGAGACGCAAGACUCCACUCUCCCUACGAGAUCACCACAGACCUGCACAGCAGCAAACACCUGGUCAGGAAGUUCCGCGGGCACCUGCGCACCAAGAUCGAGUCCGGGGAAGGGACGGUCCCUGUGCGUGGCCCCAGCGCAGUGCAGACCUGGGACGGCGUCCUGCUGGGGGAGCAGCUGAUCACCAUGUCCUGCACGGACAAGAUCGCCAGGUGAGGCCCACGGCUUCCUCUCGAGGAUGUUGGCUGCGGCCGGUGGAGAGUGCCAAGCCCCAGGCUCCCUGCGUCCCACUUCUGGUGAGGUCAGAGAUGCUGGGCACAUGCGGUCAGGGCCCUGUGCCUGAGCCGUGGAACUCCACAGCCGUUCCGCGUGUUCAGUCCCACACCCUGAGGCCAAGGCACCCCGAGUCCCCGAGGGAACAAGGCCCUGCCACCCCAGGCUGCCACUGCAGAGGCAAACAGCCCUGAGCAAGGCCCGGCAACCCCAGGCUGUGGCUGCAUGGGGCAAACACAGCCUGGCCUGAGGCUGCCGGCCAGUCAGGGUGGCCAUAGGCUAACGAGAAGCCAGGGCCUCCCACCCCACUGGGCUUUCCACCAAAACCUGACUAACGUUCAGGGACAGCCACAGGUCUUGAGGUCAGCUGGGUGGAACACCUCUCCUGCACCAUCCCCUGAGAUAUUGUCUUCUUGAAAGGAGUUUUCAAAGCCUCCAUGUGGAGGUCUCAGGAUGAGGUGUCUCGGCUGAGCUCUGUGCAGAGGAGCAGGAAGGUGCAGAAUGGGCACCCACCUCCCUCCCAGCACCUCCAGUCGCUGCCACGCCCCAAGCUCCCGAGCUGCUCUGCCCAAGACCUUCCCCAACCUUGGUCUGACACGUUGAGACCUCCCCAUACCUCGGCCUGAUGCCCCAAGACCUCUCCCAACCUCAGUCUGAUGCCCCGAGACCUCCUUGGCCUCAGUCUGAUAACCUAAGACCUCCCCCAACCUCAGUCUGAUGCCCCAAGACCUCCCCCAGGUUAGUCUGAUGCCCUGAGACCUCCCCCAACCUCGGUCUAACAUCCCAAGACCUCCCUGUCCCCCUGUCCUCGGUCUGACCCCCCAAGACCUCCUCCACAUUGGUCUGACACCCUGAGACCUCCCCCGACCUCGGACUCACGCCCUGAGACCUCUCUGGCCAUGGUCUGAUGCCCCGAGACCUCCCCCACGUUGGCCUGAGGCCCCGAGACCUCCCCCACAUUGCUCUGAUGCCCCGAGGCCUCCCCCACAUUGGUCUGACACACUGAGGCCUCCCCAACAUGGAUCUGAGGACCUGAGACCUCCCCAACGUUGAUCUGAGGCCCCAAGACCUCCCCCACGUUGGUCUGAUGCCCCGAAAGCACCAUCCCCAAUGCAGGACAUUUCUGUAACUUUGGUUUGGAAAAUAGGGGUCACAGGUGUGGGGACAGCAUGAGUUUCCCUAAAAGAGCCAUGAACUCCCCGCAAGCCUGAUUAAAAAAACUAACAACAACGUGGUCACAGGAAGUCUGGGUUGAGUGACCCAGAACACCCUUGGAC